AGCAGUGUUUGAAACCAACCAUCGGAUCAACUUGGGAGACUGAGUAUAUGCCAAUGUGUACAUACGUGCCUCUCUUCAACGAAGCUCUCUCACACCGAUAUGGGUCACUGUAGACGCGGGACUGGGUAAG
rnacentral:lncRNA from 1 species